GGCGCUUACACCGAUUUCUAGAUUGUUUAGAAGAUCUGAAAAAGUUAAUUUUCAACAUACAUUUUAUUAGAUACUACAGCAAAUUUUCACUUUACCUUCCUCCUCACAUAAAAAUUAAUAUUAAAUUAUAUACGAAAGUUCGGGAGUCUAAAAGACAGUUGCGGCAAUUAGAUAGGGCUAUAGAGGGCUUAUCCCCCAUGGAUCGCCUGAAUCCCUCCAAUAAUGAUGCAGAGUCUCUUUGGAUGACAUUUAUUUAAUAUUACGGUGGGGUUGAGAACCGCUCAAGAUUUACAAGCUAAUUACAUCACUAAAUCAUGGGCCAAGUUUAACAAAACACUCGAUCAGGUUUUUGAUAGUAACGACUAAAUAUUUUAUCCGUGUACUUAUUUCAUAAUUAAUGAGCAGAAUAAUAAACACAGACAAUACACGCGUGUACAAAAAAUUAUGUUAAAAUAGUCGUGAUGAAUUGUGUCCUUUAAGAGUCGCGUAAAGAGGAUCGUGGGGGCAUAGUCUCCGCGGGUCUUUGACGUGCGUCCGUAAUUUUAGCGCCCCCGGAGUUGUUGGUCUAGUAAUGCCUACGCCGGACUAUAUGCGGGCAAUAACGUGAGUCUAGGCAAUAACGCGCAAAUCGAAAACGGCCGCGGCAAAAUGUCCACGCACCAAAAGUGCGGCCGAACUCAAAUGCGGUCACAUUUUCCUCGGGCCAUUUUGAUGUUCGGACGUGUUUUCCACGGUCACACUUCGAAACGGCUAUUAUCGCCGAUUAUCAAGUAAUACGGUUUACACGCCCACCGCAUAAACGUACG